ACACAGCUGAAGGACCUGGAAAACCACAGGAAGUUGAAUUUGGUCGACGGAGCAUAUGAGGAGUGGUGGCGGGCAUCUCAAGAGGGGAAGACUCUCCCACUGUGUUAUAAGCUGCUAAAGUCAAGGAAGACAAUAGUCAAGCCCCCAGAGGUUGCGAGUCACUCUAGCCAGACCGUGGCAGGGUGGAAACCAGCCCACAGUGCGCCGGGGCGUCUGGAAGAUGAAGCAGCGGAACUCAGAGAGCUCUGAAGGGGGACGGGGGCCUGCAGCUGUUUUUUUUGUUAGCUGCUUUUUGUUCAUGGGAAAACUUGAACAAGCUUGAUUGCUUCAUGGAAGGAGCCAGGUGACAUGGAAAGGGGAAAGAUGCAGAGUAAGGGGACCGAGGGACAGCGAGAUGGCUGCAAAGGUGGAGGGAAGAAGUGAGUGGGAACGGAGGAGACGUGGUGCUGCCGCUCAGCUGUGCCCCAUGGCUUUGCCCCGUGGCUUGCUCCCCUCCUCAGUACUGUUCUCUCCCGUGUGGCACAGCCAGGCUUACUCAUCAUUUCAUCUGCAGCCCUGCCCAUACCAGCGUGUGCUGAACGAUGUUGAACCUUAGGCGACGGAGGCCGACUGGAACCAGGGCUCUGAGUGACAGAGACGCAGUUAUGUCUAAGGACAUACGCUAGAAUGGCUGAUGCAGGGCGCAAGCUCGAUUCCUGCAGAUGUGUGUUAAUGAGCAGCUCCCUCAUUUUUGCAAAGGUCAGCAUUCCUUUGGCAAACUGGGAAGGAGCAGUUUAAGGUGCAGCUCCCAAGUGGGUCACACCGACCCCCCAACAUCCAGUUCCCAACUGCUGAGCGUGCUUCUCUUCGUGGGAGUGGGCGGGCCAGUGCCGAGGGGCUCAGGACGGAUUCUCAGAAACGCCCCACCAUGCAGGUGGCUUACGGGAGGGCAAAGCCAAUGCCAGCCUCCAGGAAGUCUGCGCUUUCUUUCCUUAGGCUGCCAAUCAGAGUGGACCAGCUGGAGAUGACCAAUCACAUGACAAGACUCCUGCACAAAGGGAAGAAAUGAGAUGCUGCAGCUGAGGAGGGCGGCCAACCUGGGAGGCAUCUGGCUCCCCUGACAAUGCCUGCCGAUCGCCAAGCUGGCUUCCAGACCUCCUGGGACAGAACUGUUCCUCCCAGGACGCUGGUGUAGGUUCAAGUCCAGUUGAUAUUUACUAAGCAACUGCAAUGCCCAGGCCUGUUCCAGUGCUGCAGAGAGUAAGUGCUUAUGGGUGCUUAUAUUCAGAGUAAGUCAAUACACCAGCUUCGUAUGACCUGCGUCUUCGGGGCCAGCAGGGCAGGUUGGUCUCCUCAGCCUCACACUGGAGCUCCUGGCUGGCUGGUGUCUGCGGUCAGGACCCUAGUGAUGGGAGGCUCAGCAAACAGAGGAGGCAGAGGGGCUGUUCUGAAAUGACCUUGAAACGACCUAUCACCCUCAGGGGUGGUCUUACUGGAUGAAGUCCAGCCCGCCAUAGGCACUGAAGGGCUCUCAUUUGCUGAGCCCUUGCUUUGCGCCAGGCGGCUCUUCCUCUGCCGACACUGAUCAAAGGAGGGUGCGAGGCUCAGCUACUGAAGCCGGGGUCAGACUUGUGGGCGUGGGCUUUUCUAAUGCCAAACCCACGGGCGCCAAGGCUUCUCAAGCUCAUCCUGUCAGCCCCUGAAUUUCUAACUGGCAAAGCUCCACGCUAGCGGUGGGGGAAGAAGGAGCCAGAGAGACCUGAACUGCAAGGGGACCCCAUGUGGGAUGGUUCAGGGGAGCAGCAGGACAGCCAGGCCCCUGCCAGCACCUGCCUGCGGUCUCUCACCUGGUCCCGACUGCAAUGCCUCCUGGCAGGACAGAGCCGCCGACUUCUGUCCCGUAAGAGCUGUGUGCAAGGUGGGCCCUUGUCCGUGUUGCCAGCUGAAGACUGACCCAAGACUCGGGAAGAGAACUGGGUUGGAUCUGUUCUCAGUGUGGUCCAGAUCUGCCAUGUUGGCACCAGCUGGGAGUGUGUUAGCAAUGCCGACUCUCAGGCCCCCCAGGAACUCUGUCGGGGAUUCGGGUGCUUGCUGUUUGAGGACCACUGGAUUAGAUAUCAGCAAGGUCCUUCCUGAGUCUUUUCUCAGCUGUCCCCUUCUCGAGUUGCCUUGGCAUCUCUCAUCCUGGGUUCUGAAUCCUGGACUCCCUACUCUCAGGACACCCCAUGCCUCCUACUCAUGCUUUGCGGCACAGGCAAGGUCUCCAGAAAGAGCUGCGGGUGGGGCAUGGCCACUAACUGGGAAACCUUGGCCACGGACAGGGAUUCUCUCUCCUUCUCAUUCUGAAAUCCUAUGAUCUGGUGAACUGAGGUUCAUGCUCACUUUUUUUUUUUUUUUUUUAAGACAGAGUCUCACUCUGUCACCCAGGCUGAAGUGCAGUGGUAGGAUCUUGGUUCACUGCCAACCUCCACCUCUGGGGUUCAAGCAAUUCUCCUGCCUCAGCCUCCCGAGGAGCUGGGACUACAGGAACGCACCACCACAUCCGGCUAAUUUUUGUAGCUUUUAGUACAGACAGGGUUUUGCCAUAUUGCUCAGGCUGGUCUUGAACUCUUGACCUCAGGUGAUCCGCCUGCCUCGGCCUCCCAAAGUGUUGGGAUUACAGGCGUGAGCCACCGCACCUGGCCCAUGCUCACAUUUUUAUAAGCACAACGGCAGUAACCAACAGAGCCAUUUUUCUGAGGCCUUCCUGUGCCCAGCACUGGGCCAAGCCCUUGACUUAAUCCUUAUUAUCCCAACAAGGUUGGAGUCAGCAGGCCUGGGUUCUUGUCUCAGCUCUGACACUUACUAGCUGGGGGAAAAAGGGGAAGGAUGUGGGUGGGCAGUGGCAGAACCUUCUUUAGGCCCCAGUUUUUGCGUUUUGAAGGCAGGGCUUUGGAGGGAUGAAUCACAAAUCAGUAUGCUGUGUGAAAGCAGCCAGACACGAAAGAGGGCACCCGGCGCAGUUUCAUUCACAUGAAGUUCUAGAUGAGGCAAAUGAGACUACGCUGGAAUCAGAGCCGGGGCUGUGGUAGUUUCAGAAAGGGGGCAGUUUGGACCGGGAAGGGGCAAAAGGGGGCUGCGUGGGGUGACGGGCACGUUUCAUCUUGAUUGUGGUGGAGGCCACAGGACUGUACAUCCAUUUGUCAAAACGCAACAAACGGUACAUUUAAAAAGGAUGGAUUCUACUGUAGGUAAAAUAUGCCUCAGUUUAAAACAUUCUUAGUAAAAUAUGGGCUUUGG
ensembl:lncRNA GPRACR GPR107 adjacent cis regulating lncRNA